AACGUAGGUGGCGAGCGCUAUCCGGAUUCAUUGGGCGUAAAGAGCUUGUAGGCGGCGUCAUAAGUUGGACGUGAAAACUCCGGGCUUAACUUGGAGAGGCCGUUCAAUACUGUGGUGCUAGAGGGUGUCAGAGGGAAGUAGAAUUCCUGGUGUAGCAGUGAAAUGCGUAGAUAUCAGGAGGAAUACCCGUGGCGAAGGCGGCUUCCUGGGACACAUCUGACGCUGAGAAGCGAAAGCUAGGGGAGCAAACGGG
rnacentral:rRNA from 1 species